CACAGUAUGCUCUUCUUUAAUGAGUUGUACUUCCUACACCCAUCGCCAACUUAAAUUCUAUGUAACGGUUAGGUUUUUUCACUGUAAGUGAAUCAAAUUAGAAAAUCGUGAUUAAUACUUUGCAUAUAAUCAAAAUAAUUUGGGAAUCUGCAAUGGAAAUGGAAAUCUGACUGAUCUCCCAAUUUUAUUUAUUUAUUAUUAUUAUUAUUAUUUUUAAAGUCUGUUAUCUCUGCUAGUCACAGAAAUGGCCAUUAGUGCAACUUGGAGAGGUUUGUACACAGCUACGACAAUUUCUCACAUUUCAUAGCCUAUCUCACUAGCUUGUGAAAUUUUCGGUACUUUUUCCGCUCCUCCAAAUCUAGCAACACAACUGCAAUUCAUGAUAUAAUCUUUACAUGUAGUUGUUUUAUCUUUCUUUCCAGAUGAGGUUGAAUCUCCCAUCGGAACAAUUCGUCUAUAGCCUGUGAUGGAUUUAUGAUUCCUUCUAAUAUUGUUCUGCCGCAACAGAAAAAGAAUUCUUAUCUCAAAACGUACUUGUUAUUUUUUCAUUUGAUAUGAAUAUUCUAUACAUUUUAGCAAGUUGGAAGGGUUUAACUUCAGAUGCUAGGGUCCUACAAAACACUCUGACAUGUACCGAUGAUCCUCUAAUUGUCUCACAUAGUUUUCAUCGUCACUCUUGUUCAUUUGAUAUGAACAUUCUAUACGUUUUAUCGAGUUGAGAGAGUUUAAAUUCAGAUGCCAGGGUCCUACACAACGCUUUGACAUGUACCGAUGAUCCUUUGUCCCACAUGGUAAAUACUAUGCUGUGGAUGUGGGAUAUGCACACUCGUUAGGUUUUAUGGUCCCGUACUGUGGUGUUCGAUAUCACUUUCAAGAGUAUCGAACCGGUAGAGCUCCCGCGAACAUGGAGUUAUUCAACUAUCGACACACGCAAUCGCGAAACGCAAUUGAGCGAUGUUUGGGAGUAAUGAAAGGCCCGUUCCCAAUAUUGAAAACGGCGAUGAAGUACUAUUUCGAAACUCAGGUGAAAAUUCUAGUAGCUUGUUGUCUGCUACAUAAUUUUAUCCGAUGCUCGCAUGAGUCUGAUGAAGAUCCUGUUGGGAAGGUAGAGACCAACCCAACACUACAUGAGGUGUCAACACUCGACGAGAGGCAGUGAUUAGUGUAAGUGGCUCGGGAGGAAAAAGACGCGUAGAUGAGAGUGUGGGAUGAUAUUGCUGAACGAAUGUGGGCUGACGCCCGAAACAAUUGUAGGAACAGGUACGAUAUCGGACAUGUGGACAAAUCUAGCACGAGCACCGUCGCAAUUACCGGUAAAAACUCUGAUGCAACUUACUCGCCUUUUCUUCGUGAGAAGCCUGUUAGGUCCUUUGCUGAGCCUCCAUCCUGAGCACCUAAAAUCAAAUGGAAUAGAUCGAUUGACCAAGUACUGUUCAACAUGCUGCUCGAGCAAAUUGCAAUAGGACGCAAAGCCGAUAAUGGAUUCAAGAGAGAAGUGUAUCAGGCUACGGCUGAGGAGGUGACGAAUUGUACACUCAUCAGCGCGAAUUGGCAAAAUGUGCAAAACUGUAUGAGGUAUCACAAGAGAGAAUAUAAUGAUGUGAAAGAUAUGCUUGCCGCAAGCGGAUUUGGCUGGGAUAACGAGCGACUGGUUGUGACCUCUCCAAAUGAAGUUUGAGAAGAAUAUCUGUGGGCACACCGUUAUCACAAAACCGUAAUUAUUGUAACUCUAAUUUAUUUGGGUGUUCAUUUUAUGUGUAAGAACGUUAUGGUGUAGUCUCUGCUUGUUAAUAUCUUACUGACAUUGUUUGGUGUAGUCUCAUUCGUGAGCUGAAAGACUUCGGGGGAAAAGAAUCGAGA